rnacentral:rRNA from 1 species
UAGGGAAUCUUCGGCAAUGGACGAAAGUCUGACCGAGCAACGCCGCGUGAGUGAAGAAGGUUUUCGGAUCGUAAAACUCUGUUGUUAGAGAAGAACAAGGACGUUAGUAACUGAACGUCCCCUGACGGUAUCUAACCAGAAAGCCACGGCUAACUACGUGCCAGCAGCCGCGGUAAUACGUAGGUGGCAAGCGUUGUCCGGACUUAUUGGGCGUAAAGCGAGCGCAGGCGGUUUCUUAAGUCUGAUGUGAAAGCCCCCGGCUCAACCGGGGAGGGUCAUUGGAAACUGGGAGACGUGAGUGCAGAAGAGGAGAGUGGAAUUCCAUGUGUAGCGGUGAAAUGCGUAGAUAUAGGGGGGAACACCAGUGGCGAAGGCGGCUCUCUGGUCUGUAACUGACGCUGAGGCUCGAAAGCGUGGGGAGCAAACAGG